rnacentral:rRNA from 1 species
UACGUAGGGUCCGAGCGUUGUCCGGAAUUACUGGGCGUAAAGGGCUCGUAGGCGGCCAACUAAGUCAGACGUGAAAUCCCCAGGCUCAACCUGGGAACUGCGUCUGAUACUGGUUGGCUUGAAUCCGGGAGAGGGAUGCAGAAUUCCAGGUGUAGCGGUGAAAUGCGUAGAUAUCUGGAGGAAUACCGGUGGCGAAGGCGGCAUCCUGGACCGGCAUUGACGCUGAGGAGCGAAAGCCAGGGGAGCAAACGGG